AGAGUUUGAUCCUGGCUCAGAAUCAACGCUGGCGGCGUGCCUAACACAUGCAAGUCGAACGAGAAAGUGGAGCAAUCCAUGAGUACAGUGGCGACCGGGUGAGUAACACGUGAUCAACCUACCCUCGAGUGGGGAAUAACUCCGGGAAACCGGAGCUAAUACCGCAUAAAAUCUUCGGUCCACAUGAACUGAUGAUCAAAGGAGCAAUUCGCUUGAGGAGGGGGUCGCGGCUGAUUAGCUAGUUGGUAGGGUAAUGGCCUACCAAGGCUGAGAUCGGUAUCCGGCCUGAGAGGGCGCACGGACACACUGGAACUGAAACACGGUCCAGACUCCUACGGGAGGCAGCAGUGGGGAAUUUUGCGCAAUGGGGGAAACCCUGACGCAGCAACGCCGCGUGGAGGAUGAAGUCCCUUGGGACGUAAACUCCUUUCGACCGGGAAGAUACUGACGUACCGGAUAAGAG
rnacentral:rRNA from 1 species